CCUGCAAAGUUUGCAAAUUUUGUAUACUUUUGUAUUGCAUGCGAAAAUUGCAAUACAAAAGUAUACAAAAUUUGCAAACUUUGGAAGGCUAU